AUUUUAGGUUGUCUGCAGUGUUAAGCUAUAAACUCCCUGUGUCCCCUUAAACCAUCUGUAAACUUUGUUACAUAUAUAAAAAAAUCCCAGUGGGCCAUAUUGUCUGUAACACUAACUGAAGAACUCCUUUUCCUCCUCCAUGGUGACCACAGCGCGGGGCUGGGCCGUCCUCCUCCAUGGUGACCACAGCACGGGGCUAGGCCGUCCUCCUCCAUGGUGACCACAGCACGGGGCUGGGCCGUCCUCCUCUAUGGUGACCACAACGUGGAGCUAGGCCGUCCUCCUCCAUGGUGACCACAGCACGGGGCUAGGCCGUCCUCCUCCAUGGUGACCACAGCGCAGGGCUGGGCCGUCCUCCUCCAUGGUGACCACAGCGUGGAGCUGGGCCGUCCUCCUCCAUGGUGACCACAGCGUGGAGCUAGGCCAUCCUCCUCCAUGGUGACCACAGCGCGGGGCUGGGCCGUCCUCCUCCAUGGUGACCACAGCGCGGGGCUGGGCCGUCCUCCUCCAUGGUGACCACAGCACGGGGCUGGGCCGUCCUCCUCCAUGGUGGCCACAGCGUGGAGCUAGGCCAUCCUCCUCCAUGGUGACCACAGCGCGGGGCUGGGCCGUCCUCCUCCAUGGUGGCCACAGCGUGGAGCUAGGCCAUCCUCCUCCAUGGUGACCACAGCGCGGGGCUGGGCCGUCCUCCUCCAUGGUGACCACAGCGCGGGGCUGGGCCGAUCCAGCUUUGAAGGCGACAGACCCGGGCUGUGGAGCAUGCUGUACCUGGUCAGCAUGGAGGGCCGGCAGACCGCUGUGUGGGGAUUAUCAGAGCCCCACUGGCCUCAGCCCUGCAAUCUGUGAAGUGGAGAGGCCGACCCACCAUCCUGGUUCAAACCUGAUAGAGG
rnacentral:lncRNA from 10 species